AACUCAACUCGUCAAGGCAAACUCAAAGAGAGAGAGUGAGAUCGAGAAGAAGAUGCGAAGAUUCAGAGGCUGCGAAGCAGGCAGUGCUAGGCAGCAACUUCAUAAGUUCAUUGCUCGUCUAGUCGAUGCUGUAGCCGUGGUUCAAGAUGACGGACUUAUGAAGGACAUCCUGCAAACUGACACGUGGCCAGCUCACUCUUUACUGAACAAACUGGAAGAUGGAAAGAGAGACUAAAAAAGGUGAUGUUAAAUCUAAUGACUUGCUAUCAGUUUAAGCCAAGAAAUAUAGAUCUGACAUAAUUUAUUCACACUGAAGCAACAGCUUGUUAAAGACAUAUGUCAUCAAGACAAAGGCUCAUCUCUUAUAAAAGGAAUUAGGAGAGAUUCUAUUUACAAUGGUCGCCAUCUGUAACACAUAAAACAUGUAAAAGUGGAUAACAUUCAUUUAUCAGGAGCACUCUCUAAAAGAAGAAAGAAGGCUCAUGCUAAAUAAUUGGUGUUGUCCAGUGAUAGUGUUUACUGGAAGCAUGGUCCAGGGCAAAUGGUAACUAUGUUCUCCAUAAUGGAGGUAUUAGUAUUUCAAAGAAACCGGCUUGAAAUUUAAAUCCGAAAUUCCCAAACAGCUAGUCGUCAAGGAGAUGGGAUAGAUCAGGGGCCCCCUGUCCUUGUGUGGGAAGAGAGAGGAGGAGGAGAGAGAACCUGAGGAGGAAUUCUGAGUAUUGAUACAUGAAAUUCAGUGAGACCAGCUUUAGAGAAGAUGAUAUUUAAUCCAAACACAAUGACAGCAUUCUUGGACAGGUUAUCUGACUAUUGAGAGGACAUAAUGAAGGAGUAGUAAUAACUGUAACUGUACAUUAACCAGGUCAGUAAUGGGUAUA
rnacentral:lncRNA from 1 species